rnacentral:rRNA from 1 species
AACGUAGGAGGCAAGCGUUAUCCGGAUUUACUGGGCGUAAAGCGCAUGCAGGCGGUUUAACAAGUCGGACGUAAAAGCUCCUGGCUCAACUAGGAGAGGCCGUUCGAGACUGUUAAACUUGAGGGUGGUAGAGGCGAGUGGAAUUCCCGGUGUAGUGGUGAAAUGCGUAGAUAUCGGGAGGAACACCAGUGGCGAAGGCGGCUCGCUGGGCCAAACCUGACGCUCAGAUGCGAAAGCUAGGGGAGAGAACGGG